rnacentral:SRP_RNA from 1 species
GCUGGGCAUGGUGGCUCAUGCCUGUAAUUCUAGGAGUUUAGGAGGCUGAGGCAGGAGGAUUGCUUGAGCCCAGGAGGUUGAGGCUGCAGUGAGCUAUAAUCACACACUGCACUCUAGCCUGGGCAACAGAGCAAGACCCUGUCUCAA